CUUCAAAUUGGGAUUAUUUCCAAGAAUAGAUUAAAAUGCCAUGAAAAAGAAAAAAUUAUAGAAAAGCAAAAAGAGCUGAAUGCAGUGAAUGAACAUCUGUGAAUGAAGUUGAGAAGGUAUAUGUGGGGCAGACUAGAAUUGCAGUGCACAGAUACAAGAAUGUUGCCUGCUUUGGAGCCAAGACUGCCUUCCGGAUAAAGGGCCCACAGAGAGCUGAGAGCUGUGUAAUACCUCAAAGACUGAAGAAAAGAGUUAGACAGCCAUCUUUCCUUAGAGGAUUUUGCUGCAGACAGCUUGAACUACCAGAAGGUUAUAUACUGACCAUGGGUAGAGUAAGGAAGAA
rnacentral:lncRNA from 1 species